GAGACUUCUUUUCUGUACUAUCUCAAAUAAGAAAUUAGCAUAAUACUAGAGAAAAAAAUAGUCAAGUUUGACAACCAUCAUGUCAACAUUAUGAGGUAGGUUAACUGAUCACAGUACUUAAGUGAUCAGAUACAUUUCUCCUUUUUGUGUGUUUGUUUACUACUUUGGAGCUUAGAUUUUUUUUCUAAUUAAACCUAACAACCCAAAAGCUAAUAAUAAGGUUGACAAGCAAAGCUAAUUCUUUGAGGUGUGUCCGGUGUCUAAAUCAGAAAAGUCACCAGCCAGUAAAUGUCAGUGUUGCUUUGCCUACUCCACCUUAUCAAUUCCUUUACUUUUUUUUCAGGAAUGAUUUGUUUUUUACUUCAAAGAUUAACUGUAAACAUUUAGAAUACAUUUUUUUUCUUGGAUUUAUCCUCAUGGAAAUCAAUUGUUAGAUGAAGAUAAUUGUGUCUAAAUAAUAAAAACUAAUUGAGGGUGCCUGGGUGGCUUAGUAGGUUAAGUAUCUGUGUUGAUUUUGGCUCAGGUUGAGAUGACUCUCUUGAGAUGAUUCGUGAGAUCAGGUUGUGCUGAUUCUCUUGGGAUUCUCUGUCUCCCUCCCUCUCUGUCCCUUCCUUGCUCUCUCUCUCUCAAAAUAAACAAGCAAGCUUUAAAAAAUGAUAAAAACUAAUUGAUAUGGAGCAGUUACUUUGAUACUACCUAUUGGUCUGUUUAAACUAUUAACCUGAAAAUAAGUGACACUUAGGGUGUAUUUCUUUGCCAAGCAUCUGAACCACCCAGGCUCUAGGGGAUUCAGUGAUAUAAAGUAGCACAUUUUAUAAUAGCUACUGGGAUUUUCAUUGACACUUCCAUAUGAUCAGUUCAUGGUUGUCACCUUGCGUAAGUUGAUCAACCUAUUAUGUAUGUGCAAUAUUGUAAUUACAUUUCUUUUUGACAAGGAUGCAUUAAGUGUGGCCGUGAUAUGGGAACCCCUUUCAGCUUUCAUUAAUUCAAUAUAAAUCCAAAAUUUGCAGAUUCAGCAGGAUGGUGUCUAGUGGCUUAAUUGGAAUCGCUGGUCAAGCACAUUGAUUCUGCUUCACUCAGGUGAAGAUGAAAGUAGCUGCAACAAUAGAUACUGCGUUUGAAGGUCAUUGAGUUGUAGCGAGGCAAGGGGAGCAAGAGAGUAAGACACACACGCAAAGUAAUGGAAUUUUUAUUUGGUAUCUGGGAAGCCUUGAGUGACACAGUACGAGCUGACCUUGAAAUUUCAUACUUUUGUGACUCAUAGCAUUUGCUUUAUAUUCCAGAAAAAUGCGAUGAUGUUUUACAGGGAAAUUAGUAUAGCCAGUUUUACUCUCUGGGAAGCUUACACCGGAUAUCAUUUAUUUGUUGACUUCAUGAUAAUAUGGAAAAUGAAGACCUGGUUAAUUUCAGGUGAAUCUGACAUAAAAGAGGCAGUAUAAUUUCAAGUGAAUCUGCUUGGAAGAUUGCAUAUCUCGUGAAGAAAAGGAAUCUGACUUUUAGGAGCCGUGAUAGUCUGUCACAUAAAACAUGCGUAGUGAAGAAGAUCGAACCUGACAUGGAUCGUGACCAUGGUCGGGACCAGAGAGAUGGUAUCCCCAGGUCUCUCCAGCUCUCUGAUCCAUGCCGAAAUGUCAAGCCUUUAACUGUAUGGAGAGUGAAAGGCCUUCUUGCAGUGGUGAGUUGGCUGUGAGUGAUGUCAUGAGGAUCUGUCCCGUGUAAGCCUCAGGAUGUCUUUGAUGGAAGAACGGGAGGGAUGAUUGUUGCCUUAAUGAUUACAGCAGUGGCUGCCAAUUCACUAAUGGUUGGAACAUGUAAUUAGAACUUGAGAACUUAACUCUAGUCAUGACUAUGCCAAUUACCAUGGCUUUGAGCACGCUCUUCACUCUCUUGGGAGGGAGGUACCAUAUUUUGUGAUUAGGAGCUUGAGAUGUGGAGUCAGACUGCCUGGGUUCAAAUCCUAGCUCCACAACUUAUGAGCUAAAUGUUUUUGGAUAAGUUGUCUUAUGUCUCUGUGUUUUAGUUUUGUCAUCUCUAAAAUGGAGAUAAUAAUACUACCUACCUCACUGAGCUGUUAUGAGUAUUAAAUAAGUUCAUUCAUGCAAAGUGUUUAAACCAGAGCCCAGGACAAAUUACAUUCCCAGUAAACAUUAGCUGUGAUUAUCUUUUCUUUUUUUUCUUGUUUUCCCUUGUGACUAUGAAGGGGUUGGAUUGGAUGAUGGAUAAAAUCAUCAACUAAUUUGUUACACUGUACACCUUGGGGCCUGCGACAGUGCCUGGCACACAACGGCUACUCAACAUAUGCUUGUUGACUGAAUGGCUGAGGUUUUGCAUUUCACCGGAUGGGAAUUUUAUGAGAACCUGUUUUGGGACAUCUAUCAUGCAGACAUGUUACCUCAUGAAAUUAAAAAUCUCCAGAGUGUUAAGAUGAAUAAAUUAAGAACAUGAACGAUUUAUGGAGAACUAACUCUUGCAGUCAGAGUCCAAUCAGGGAAACGAAUGAGCUCACACCGUAGUUCAAUAGAGGCCACUGAACACAAGGAACAAAGGCGUGAGCAGAACUGGAAAGCCAUUGGGAUAGUGAGGCAGCUUGGAGAGUGGCCAGGAGGAGGAGAUGAUGCUACUGGAGCUUGAUGCUGAGGCAGCCACCAAGCAGGAGCUGAGAGCUGGGGUUGUGGAGGAACAGGUUGUCUAGUGGAACAAGCCAAUGCUUGUUCAGGUUGAAUGGAGAAUUCCCCAUUCUCAAUGCCUCCCAUUGGCUGGAUCCAUCCAGAAGCCAGCUGGCAGAGAAAGAUGGGAACUGAAUUUUGUAGAGGUGCUCAUGAGGCCUGUGAACGGAUGCGAGGGGAAGCAGGCCAGGUCCAGCACCCUAACCAGACUGUGGCCAGGCUGGCCCUCAGGUCAAAUCUACCAGCUGCCCGGUUUUGUAAAUAAAGUUUUAUUGCAACAAAGCCACACCCACUCAUUUACACAUUUCCUAUGGCUGUUUUGAUGCAUGUCUGCAGAGGUGAGUCCUUGUGAAAAAGACCAUAUGACCUUUUACAAAAAGUUGCUUAUCCUGGUGCUAGACUGUGUCUAACCCAUACAACCACUGGCCUGGUAAGUAUUUCUACCCUUAUUUUGCAAAUGGGGAAACAGGCUUGUGAAAUAGACCUGACUUGCCUGAGGCUGAGUGCACCAGGUCUGAAUGAAACUUGCAUUUGACCUCCAUCUAGUUGUUACCAAAUUCCAAGUACCUUCACUGCACCCCCAGGUCCCUCAGGCCCCACUGGGCCACCUCAGCUCCUGGUCUUCUGCUGAAACAAAAUGGCACCUUGGGUUGGUAUCUCUCCAUGGCACGUCUCUGCCUGUUGUUGCCUCACCAACAAGUUCAUGGUAGCUGAGGGGUCAGGGGUCGUCUGAGCUGGAAUGGACCAGGACUUCACAGGAGAGAAUUCAAAUGUCUGGGGCUUGAAGCUCUCUGUUUGUCUGAUUGUCCUUUCCAGGGAGGCAGCUGGCCCUUAAGAGGCUCUUCCCCCUGCCUCAUAGUCUGCACAGUCAUCACAACUAAGCAAGAAGACCAAAAGAUUUGGGAGAACGUCUCUGACAUAAAGGAAAUCAAUGUUAAAAUGAGAUUUGCUUUAUAAAAUGUACAGUAUAGCCAACUCCUUUUAGGAAUGCUUCUCCUGUGAAGCUAAGUACACCUGUCUGAUGAAAAAACAAAAAUCUCAAAACAAAAUAUGAUUGCCAACUUUCUCCACAUCACUUGGGGAUUCCUCUUAAGUAAUAGCAUUUAUGAGUCCAGCUGGGUGGCCUUGGUGCACAUGACAACAGCAGGACAAAAUCUCCCGAAACACGGGACAAUUUAUGUUUGUGGAGAAUUCCAAGUGAUUAUGAGGUAGCUGCUGCUUGCAUUUGCUUUGCUCGCACAGAUGAUGAGAAAUUGCAUCUCCGGGAAGAACUUAAAGGGGCGAACUGAAUGCAUGUGAGAUUAAAGAAAUCAAGAUUUGCAUGUGAUGACACACAAAAAGGGCAGAGCCGUGGCGGUGGCAUUAUUUGGCUUAGCAUUUAGCCAACAUGGAUAUUUUUAUAAUGUAUUAAGCGCGCUUUCCUGCCUCCAUGAAAAUGAUACUCCUGACCACUCCUCAUAUGGCCACUGACACCAGUUGUGCUUUUAAAGCCAUGACGAAGCUCAGGUGACCACCUGAACCCUUCACUCUCUCCUCUGACUAUCAGAUGUUUGGAAUGACUUAGCCUGUUUCCUCGAGCUGGCACAGGGCUGCGGCCAGAGGAGGCAUUGAGCUGUCUCCAUCAUCCCUGGUGCAGGCAGCAGGCACUUGCUUCUGAGUGGCUCUGGGGCUCAAGAAUCUAUUUCCAUCUUGGGGAUCCUGGGUAAAUUUGUAACCCCUUGGAUCCAGAAGUUCACUACCAUUUAAUGGGAGGCAAUAUGAUUGCUUGAGGAAAGCUGGGGCUCCAGAGGUGAAAACACCCAGAUUUAAAUCCUCUAUUUAUUAGCUCAUCCUCUCACGAAUCUGAUCCUCUCUCUAGGCCUGAGAGGCAGCUGAGGAUGUCUCUGUGGUAGGCUGUAUAGCGGUCCCCAAAGAUACCCAGGUCCUAAUCCUUGGAAUCCUGGGUGUGUUACCUUAUAUGGAAAGAGGGGGUCUAUGCAGAUAUGAUGAAGUUAAGGAUCUAGAGAUAGGGAGAUUAUCCUGGAUUAUCUGGGUGGGCCCUCAAUGCCAUCACAAGUGUCCUUAUAAGAAGCAGGCAGAGGGAUUUCUGAUGCACAAGAGGAAGAAGGCAGUGUCACAAGCAUGGAAGCUGAGGGAGAUUUGAAGAUGCUACACUACUGGCUGUGGAGAUAGAGGAAGGGGCCACAAGCCAAGGACAGCAAGGAGUCUCGGCAGCCUCUAGAAGUUAGAGAAGACAGAGAAGCCGAUUUUCUCCUAGAGCCUCCAGAAGGAGCAUAGCCCUGCUGACACCAUUCUCUUCAGCCCAGUGAAACUGAUUUUGGACUUCUGGCCUCCAGAACUAUAAGACAAAAAAUAUGUGCUGUUUUAAGCUGCCAUGUUUGUGGUAUUUGUUACAGCAGCCACAGGAUGCUAAUAGAGCCUCCUGCCGUGGUUGUGGUAUGUAAGAGUCAUGCUCGAGAAAGAUACUAAAUCAACUCAGGAAAUCAUGCCCAAAGCAAGGGGGAGGGAUCUGAGGUAAGUUAGGAGUAUCUGAGGUGACUCUGGGGACAAGUGCAGUAACUGUGAGAAUAAACCCUCUUGCUCUUCAAGUUUAGACUACAAUAUAAGAAUCUAUCCCUGGCAGUGGCACUUAUGUCUCUGGCAUGGAUCUGGCCCACUGUCCCCUAUGCCCUGGACCCUUGCUGUUCUUCUUUGGCCAUCCUGAUAUCCCAUCCUGCCUACCUGAUAAGCCAUGUCACUCACAUCAACCUGUAGCUCAGAUACCGGGAUGGUGGUGAGGGCAUGGCUUCUGAAUCCCACGUCCCUGAUCACAAACUGACUACUCAGUCUGCCCUUUCCCUGCUGUGGAGUGUAGAUUAGAGUUUGUGGGUGGGAGAUGGCUGAAUAACUUUCAGUGAGAAGACCCACCAAGAGAACUGAGAACCCAGGGGAAGGAAGAAGCUGUAAUGGAGGAAAAGGCUCCAUGGUCAACCCAUUUGACCUUAAGCUCGGGCUAUUGCCUUUGAGCUAAAGAGAGCUGCUGCUGUCCUCCUCACCCAAGGGCUUCAAAGCUGUUUCCACAGAAUCCAAUGGAUCCUUGUUUGGGACAAUAGCUCCCCUGCAAGUUGGCAAGUGAGAGGCCUCAUGAUUUAGAUUCCCAUAUGGGUGGUCUAGACAGAUGGCCAAUGCUAAGACUGACUCACAGAGUUCUUGGGGGAAUUGGAGGAAGGUAACACACACACACACACACACACACACCUCAGGACUGUUUAGUGUAUGAACUUCAGUAUCCCUAGGAACAGAAUACUAGAGAAUCAUCAGUGUGGUUAAAAACAAUGGCCACCACCAAAGCAGCAAUGAUCAUAAGAAAAGGGUUCAUUUUUCUGCCUUCCAAGAAAUGUGGGAGUAAAGAAGCCUCUGGUCAUCUGUGUGCAUGGGGAGAAAAGGAGCAGCCCUGGAGAGAAGGUAGCCCAAAGUCAGUUGUCUCCUGGGCCGCCCUGGAAAUAGCAGCUGGAGUAAGGAUGAGUUAGGAUGAAUGUACCACCUCCUUCCUGCCCCUCUAUUAUAGAAACAAAGCUAAUGUCACUGUUCUGUAAGACGUCUGAAGAAGAUCAUUACAGCUAGUCCUGUGGUUCUUCUAAGUCUGAUCUGAGACAGCAAAAUGACUCUUAGCCCAAGGAUGAAAGAGUUGUCAUUCAUAAGUCAUCAUGACCGUGCUGUUUGGACACUGAGCUCUCCUCAGAUCAAGCUCAUAUCAGGUGGUGAAUCUGAGAACAAUGAAUCAUCCCAGGGCCAGGUACCAGACAAGUCAGGACAGCCCCUACAUCCCAGGUCCCAUGAAAGUUAUUCAAAUUAGCUAAACUGAAGCCUGCUCACACUGUCCUGCCUGCUCCUCCCAGUGGAAACCACAACAGAGGCUCUCACUCAUUAUGUCUGCUCACCCCUCUGCCUCCUGAUGCCUCCCGGUGCUCCUUUGUGUGUCCCCAUGUGGCAUCGUGUGCCCCCUCCUCUUGAAAACGGUGAGUAGCAAGCUAUCUUUCCCAUGGCAGUCCUCUCCUGAUACUGUUGGCCUCACCAGACCUGAAUAAUAAUCAAGCCUUCAUUUUGAAACAAUACAUGCCCAUAUUAACCCCUGGACUGGUACGGCCUGGGAAGCUCAGCUUACGUGUCAACUCUUAGCCCUGCACUGAGCCCCUUGGAGGAGUUCUGGAAAUUGCUGGCCUCAUUCCUCCCUUUCCCUCCCUUCCUUGACUGUGACCUCAUUGACUUGCUCUAGAUGCUCUAAUCUUUCCCAGCAGCCUCAUUGCUUACACCUCGCAGUUUGUGCUGGCAUUGUUCCUCCUCCCAGAAAGCUGCCUAAGCAAUCCCCUGCUCCUGUUGUCCCACUUUAAGAGGCUGAGGGUGAGGUCACAGCAUGGCUGGUGCAUCAGUGUUUGCAUUGCUCAGGCGGGGCUGUAGGAGCCUGAGCUUGCACGCCUGUCAUCCACCUACACUCAGCGACCUGUCAAUACACUGAUCCUGGAGGCAGUGUGCUCAUCCUCUUGAACUUGCUCCAGACAUUGUACAGAUGAACUCUUACAGGGCAGUUUACAGCCUUGACUGGGGCAGCUCUGGGGGAUGAUCCAAUUCUCUUAUUUUGGUUAUCUACUCCCAUCUCCCCUCCCCAUCCCCUUUGCUCAGUCUAGAACUUACCUCUUGGGUAUGUCAUUCCACAUUAGCACUUCCUCCAGGAAAGGUGUCCCCGAGAGAGGGUUUGUCUUAGGUGGUUUCCCCUAACAGCAGAGCCUGGGUUGGGUAGUUUAUCUGGGAGUGAUUCCUGGAAGCUGGAGUGUGGGGAGUGAGGCGUGAAACAGACAAGGAGAAAAAUCCAACAAAGGAGGUGCAAUUGAACUGUUUCCACUACGGGCAUCUGAGGUUCAGUUCCCUGGGGAUCUCUGAGGACCUGGGUGUAAUGCUUCUCCAAUUCCUCCUUCUGAAAUUUAGGAGCCUGGGCACAUUUAUCUGCCAUCUCCUGUGACCCAAUGGCAAAGGAUUUCUCUGGGGGUAUUAACUCCUCCUUAUUCCUGGCCUGAGCUUCAGGCUGAGAGGUUUUCCAAGGCUGAGGAGAAAGGCAGGGAGGCAUAAGAGCAGGGAGAUCUUUGAGAUGAGGCUCGAGAUGGAAAGAAGGCAGCAGGGGCAGAACUGUCCACCUCAGGUGUGCGAAAAUCAGUGGGCUUAUCAAAGUGUCCUAACAGAGGGUGAAAUUUAAAUCAGUCAGCAGUAGCUUAAGAGAAGGAUUUGAUACUCAGGGUUUACAAUCGAUGACCUAAACUGAUGGUUUCAAAAUCACCUGUAGAUUACCUGCCAGUGUUGUUUCUUUCCUCCUACAUUCAGGUGAGGACUCGACCUGGCUACCACCCAUGAUUCCUUUAGGAUGUAUGAUUAAUACUUUAUCGGUCACUUACCUUUGCAUAGAUACCCUUGUGUUGUUACUCCUUCUCUAAUUUGAUCAAUCAAUUAACACAUUCAUCCCCCAAAUGAGACGGGUUCUUAUUUUGAGAUGUGAAUGCAUGUGAUUUUGCCUUUCUUCCAUCUGAGUAGGUCCUGGCUAUAUACUUCAUUGUCUCAGAGAAGGUUCCCCUUAGGACUAAAGCAGUGGAAGCCAGCAAGGAUUUCUGGCUUUUGUUUUCUCAGGGAGAUUUACAGAGGAGGCAAAGGGAUGAAGGACACUUGAUGUUCUAGAUAGUUUGUCUUGGAGAAGGUCCCCCACCCCUAGAAGAGGAGAUGGCCCUUGACUGAGGGGAAAAAGAGGCCAGAGAAAGAGAGAGCCAGAGGGUGCUGUGGUCCAGGAGAAGUGGGCCCCCAGGAUGGGUCCUCCAGGAUAAUACAAGUCUCCAGAGGAGAAUGGUUGGGUAAUACAGCGAAUUCCUACAUCCCACACCAGGCGCAGAAGCACCAAAAGAGGCUGUAGAUAGAGACAACCAAAUACCUUAGUAGCAACCAGGGCAGACAAGUAAUCGAGCCUCCUACCCAUAGUAGUUUGGCACAGCAUAAGAUCUUGGAUUUUUGAUAUGAACCUCAGGCAGGGGGCAAGAAAACUAAGGAAGGACUGAGGGUAAAUUUCUUGCCAGCAUGGGAAAGGAGGUUUGAAAUUAGUAAGCCUCCACUGAUUUAUUUAAAAUAAGUUUUUGGACUUAGAUGCCUACUCACCACACAAAUAUGUAUUGAGUUUUUACUCUGUGGCAGGCAUAUGCUUGUCAUUGAGAAUGUAAAUAUGAUGAAUACAUAGCUUCUUGCUUCAAAGGUAUGCACAUACAGUCAAGGGGGCGCACAUAUAAGAUGGUGAUGAUUCAAACACAAAUGCAGCAUAUGUGUAUAAUAAUAGGUAUCUACAGGUUUUAUGGAGUCUAAGAAACAGGGGUGAAAGGAAGAGUUUAGAGAAAGUUCUUGAAGAUAAGAUGUUUAAAUUGAGCCUUGAAAUGUGGGUAGGAAUUCUCUGUCUAGAGAAUGGAUGGGAGUGGGUGGGAAGCUGUAUGGUCAUUGGGAAGAGUGAGGAGUCACAGGGGUGUGUAUUAGUUUUCUAUUCUGCAUAACAAAUCACUGCAAAUUUAGUAGCUUAAAACAACACAUGUAUUUAUUGUCUCACCGUGUCUGUGGGUCAGGGCUCUGGACUCUGCUUAGUCGGAUUCUCUGCUCCAGGGUGUCACCCUCCAGCAAAACAUAAUAAAACAAUUUUCAUGGUUCAGUGGUGACGCUAUUGUUAGGGAAAAAGAACUCUCCUGUAAUACAUAGUCUCUGCAGCCCAUUUGAUAAAUAUACUGGUUAAUUUACUCCUCCCCUCUGCCCCCCACCAAAACUGUGGUUCAGUGUCACUUUCUGUUUUGGAAGGAGGUAAACUUUUACUGAAAUGCAUGACUCUGACCUUGGAGACUGCAUUAUCAUUAAUUUCUCCUUUUCAUGAGUUUUUAAACGUUUCCAUCUGAACACUAAUCAUGUGAACACGAUGUUGACACUCUUCCAAGAAAUGGCCAAUACCAACAUAGCUCAAGAAUGCAGAUUUUGACAAGGCUGGGUUGGAUGAUUUGCACAUUCUGAGAAACUGUUGGAAUUUCCAAGUAAGGCAUUGGAAUCAGGAGGACCCAGCCUUCAGGAUUUACCUGAAGGUUAUUUAUUACCUGUCCAGCAUACUGAUUCCAAAGGGACUCAACAUCCCCAUAGGCUGUUACUUUCUCAGAUUCUUUAAAUUAAUCUUCCCCCAACUAGUUUUGGAAUCAAGGUUUCCAAUAAGAUUCAAUGUGAUGUUCUAGUCUUGGACCCACUUAUCCCAAUAUUGGAUUUACACAUUACAUAGUACACAGUGUUUAAGAGUAUUGGGGUCAUUACUCCUCUGGAGCUGUUUACCUUGGAAUUUCUCUGAAGCCUCUGUGCAUUUCUUGGCCAUAGAAGGUAUUAAGCUUUCUUGUGUUAGAAGUUCUAUUCUGAAAGAGGACUUUGAAUCACAUUCUCAGUCCCUCCAUUCUAACUGCAGUAGCCAAGUUUUCUAUUGAACCUUUGCUAGGAAAGUACCCAUUCUAAGUUUUCAAGCUCAUUGCCAUCAAAUGGUAUAGGAUAUUAUUCUCUUUUGAUGAUUUUUGUCCAUUCUGUAUUUGUGGUUAUGUCUCAUUUCUCAUUCCUAAUUUAAAAUAUUUUUUUUCUCUUUUCUUCAUCAAGCUUACAAAGGUUUAUCUUUUUCUGUUGGUCUUUUUAAAGAAAGAGAUUUUGAUUUUAUUUCCCCUUUCUCCUUUCUUUUUUAAAAAAAUGUUUCUUACAUUUAUUCAUUUUUGAGAGACAGAGAGAGACACAGCACAGUGG